CAACUCCAUGUGGUGGAUCACUCGGCUCACGUAUCGAUGAAGAGUGCAGCAAACUGUGUUAACCAAUGUGAAACGCAGACUGCUUCGAACA
rnacentral:rRNA from 1 species